rnacentral:lncRNA from 1 species
CCUUGGGCUGAGCUGCGCAGCGGGGUUUUGGCCAAAUUGGGCGAGGGCACAAAAUAACCACUUACCCCUUCUCACCGAGGAAGAACGGGAGAAAGGGUAUGGCACAGUCUCAAGGCUGGGUGAAAAGAUACUUCAAGGCCUUUUGUAAAGGCUUCUUUGUGGCGGUGCCCGUGGCAGUAACUUUCCUGGAUCAGGUUGCCUGCGUGGCAAGAGUGGAAGGAGCAUCAAUGCAGCCUUCUUUGAAUCCCGGGGGGAGCCAAUCGUCUGAUGUGGUGCUUUUGAACCACUGGAAAGUGAGGAAUUUUGAAGUACAACGUGGUGACAUUGUGUCAUUAGUGUAAGUGAAUCAGAGGCAUACUAUCUAUUUGUUUAUAAGAUUAUUUAUAAUUAUUUCACUCGUAAUUCACUGUUGGAACCCAUAUUGUCAAUGAUUAAAUUAAUGGGUCCAUUUAAAAUAUGGUGCUUUUUAAAAGAAAUCAAUUUUGAAAUGUAACAAUGCUAUAAAAAAAGGAUUUUUAUUUUAUCUUUAAAAUAUAUCAGUUGGUUGACGUACUUGGCUUUGGCAAAAUGUGUUUGGUGAAACGUUGAUUAGAAAUUUUUAUGUUGUAUUACCUGUAUUUGGUAUUUGGAUUAUUUUGAAAUUUUGCAUCUUGGAAGCAGCUUUCAUGUUACUCUCAUUAGCUUGGGCAGCUACCAAAUAUUUCUAGAAGAUGAUAGUUGUGACAUGAAAUUCAGUGACAUUUAUAUCUAUCAGCAAUUUGACUGAAAAAAGGAAGUUUGGAAGGCUAGUAGACUGGAGGCUUUUGUUCAGGACCAAAAGGUGGCACUGUUUCUCUGUUAAAGUAUUAUGACUGAUUGGGAACAAAAUUUCAUUCCAUUCUUAGUGUAGAAAAGGAAUGUCAAAAUGUACAUAACUGACACAAUGAUAGUCCUAGUACAUGCUUGAAUGGUUUGUAUUUGAGGUUUGUUUGCUUAUUCUAAAAGCAAAUUCACACUGAGAAGGCUGCCACAGAACUUGCCUAAUUUCUGCUGGUUUCAGUUACCUAUAAAAAUGUUUUAAUAUGAUUUCCCGUGUUGCCAGUUAGUGGUAGCAAUUAAUGUAGCAGUUACUGUCAUUUGUUUUAAUGAUAGUAAAAUCCUACUGUUUGAUGAAGCCUUCCAACUUAUAUUUCUGAUUCUUGAAUUGGACGGAUUGUUUCUUGUUGGGUGAUAGUUUGCAGUUGUUUGGUAAAAGCAGAACGUUAUCUACUUGUUCAUACUUACCUUUGGCUAGUGCUUUGUGGAAAGAGAUAUUGUCAAGCCUGUUCCCCCAAGAUUUUUUUUUGGAAAACAUAUUAACUAAAUCUGGUUAGUAAUUAAUGGAAUAAAUAAAUUUGAGUGGAGUUUUGUAUGGCAGGCAUCCAAGGAUGGGAUUAAGUGCUUCUCAUGUUCUCGAGUGCUUUCUCUAAUAUUAGCCUACUCUUAGGAAUAUACUCUUAUUUUGUCAUUCAGGGCACUGUUUCUGCAGCCUCCUUAACAACCUUUUCAUGCUGGGUUAGCCUGUCGUGUGCUCAUUAUUCUUUUGCCUUUGGUUUGACAAGGUUACAUCCUCACUUAGUCGGUGAUGGAGAGGAUACCCACCCAAGUGAAAGAGGUCACACUAUAAGCAGACAAUUGUGCAGCAUUUUUUUCCCCCGUGGGAAACAUGCUGACUAUCUCUAACCCAGUGAAUCUGAAUAGGUAAUGGGGAAAAAAAGGCUCCUUGAAAUUCAGGGUGCAUGGAUCCAUAAAAGUACCCUAGCAUAUUAUUGGCGAUGUAAAAAAGGGAACACUAUUCUCUUUAUAAAUAUUAAAGUGAUAAUAAUUAAUAUAUAAAUUAACUUCAAAAGCUGUGUAUUCAAAUUGCAGUUGAUGUAGUAAAUUAUAGCUACUUUGGUUGAAGUGUAUUUUUCACGAGUUAAUUAUGUGCUAUUUCUCCAUCAUGUACAAAUAACACAAAUUUUCUUUCAUAAUGCUAGUUGCUAGCAGGAGCUGUUUACAUAUAAGGAUGCUUAGUGAUUGGUAUCGUAUUAUUGAACAACAAAUAAUCAUUUAGCAGUAAUUGUUGCUGUCUUUUGAUGAACAGGAAGUCAUACUACAAUCUUUAGCGUCAUGUAAUACAGUAGAAAACAUGGUUUAAAGCAUCUUUUUCGUUUUAUGAGCAAGAAUAUUUUCUAGACACAUGUCCUUAUAUUAGAAUAUCCUAUCUAUGUAAGAAAUGUGUGACUAAUAUAGAAAUGCAUGACUACAUUUUGAAUUUUUGACUAAAUAUAAAAUAUGUAAGAUACUAAUUGUUUUGAUAACACAUUUCAUUGAUACAUAAGAAAUCUUUGGAAACAAUGUAGUAUGACAGUUUAUAUUUUAAAUUACCCUGGGACAGCAUUUUAUUUUUUCAGAGUAUGUGGAAAUGCAGCAUUUCUACUAUAAUAUUAUGUAUGUGUUUAUAUAUUAAAAGGCAUAUGAAUUUUCUAAUAAAUAAACACUGCAGUAAAUGUCAGAUUUUACUUAAAACAAAAAGGUGUAGUAGCUUAAUGGAAGGAGACAUGAGGAAGGUUUGAGACUAUCUGUGUUUACAAGGGCCAGGGGCAUUAUCAUCUGAAGCUGCAAGUAGAGAAAAGAUUACAAGCUUUUUAAAAAAUGUGCUGAUCUGAGAGAUGUAGGCUCAGCUCGUUGUUUUGUGUUGCUUUGUUUUGUUUAUUUAUAACUUUAUUUUUUUUAAAAGAAAGAUCCCAGUUAACCUUGCAAUAAACACUUCUAGGUGGAAGGUUGAACGCAUAAUACUGAUUCCUUCCUAGCUGGCUGCUGUUAGUGUACUUAGCUUUUUGUUGCUCUUGUUAAUGAGGCAAAACAUUAAUGACCUGGGAAGAAAAUCACAUAUGAACCAGUGCAGCUUAGGCUUUAUACUGAAAUUCUUUCUCCAUCUACCAGCUGCCUAUGAGCUAAUUCAUGUUACAGGAACACAGGAUGUAGCCUAGCCGACUGUCCCUUCUAUUGCAAGAAAAUUUGUUCAGGACUUAGUGACCAAGGCUGUUUCCUAAAGCAAGAAAAGUCUGGCUGAGGAAGGGUGCAUAUUGGAACAUGCUUCUUUGCAUUGCUUCCACAUCUUUUCCUGUCACUUUCUUUCUAUAAAAGGUUGGUAUCAGUGGGGCUAUUGUUUAAGCACAUUAUUCAGUAUGGUUAAGUCAAAAGGUAUAUUUAUUUAAUAGCAUUAUUGGUGACACAAAAUAUCAUCUGCUGUCAUCAAGUCCUCAGUAUUACUGAGUGUAUAUAGGUGACUUCAUACUCUCUUAGUGGAUUUGCAAACUAAUCUUGGUGAUUAAGGUAGAUUUUCUAUACUUUGGAAUUGACUUUUCAUUAACCUGUGUGAUGGCCUUACUGCCAUUGACUUCACAUAAGUAGCACCAUUUUAUAGUGAUAUAUCAAUUAACAGCCCCCUUGGGACAGAGGUUCCUUCCUAAUAAAUUUCGAUUAAUCACAUUUAAACAUGUUUUAACUUUUUGUUUUGACAUAAAAUUAAAGGCUGUAAAAAUAUUAUGGAGAGUUCCCAUAUAUCCCCUAAUAGUUUUUGAGCUUUAUUAAGGUAAAAUUUAGUUUUUAAGCUAAAAUAUUAAGGUAAAUAUCUUAUAACUGUAAGAUAUUUAAAGUGUACACUAGGGUGAAUUGAUAUAUGUAUCCAUGUGAAAGGAUUUUUCUCCAUCAGAUUGAUUAACAUGUCACCAUUUUACCUUGUACGUGUGUGUGUGUGAGAGAGAGAGAGAGAGAGAGAACAUUUAAGUUCUCUCAGCCAAUUUCAAUUAUAUAAUAGAGUUCCUGUCAUCACCAUGUUAUACAUUAGCUCCUCAGACCUUAUUCCUUUUUUUUUUUUAAAGGCUAGGGGUUGAAGCCUAUGCCACAGCCCCUGCAACGCCACAUCUGCAAGCUCUGCUGCAGCUCACAGUUUGAACCUGCAUCCUCAUGGAUACUGGUCGGGUUCUUAACCUGCUGAGCCACAAUGGGAACUCCCCUUAUUCAUCUUAUACCCACCAAUAUUAACAUUAUAUACAACUGUAGUCCAGUUAUGAAGUCCAGAAAAUUGACCUUGAUACAAUACUGUUAACUAAUCUAUAGACCUUAUUUGAAUUUCACUAGUUUUCCCACUAAUGUCCUCUUUCUAGACCAAAAUCCUACUUAAGAUCCUGUAAUUCAUUUUUAAUUUUCAUGUCUCUCUAGUCUCUUUUAAUCUGUGUCAGUUCCUCCAUCAUUCUUUGUCUUUUUUUUUUUUUUUGUCUUUUUGCCUUUUCUAGGGCCACUCCCACGGCAUAUGGAGGUUCCCAGGCUAGGGGUCGAAUCGGAGCUGUAGCCACUGGCCUUCGCCAGAACCACAGCAAUGCGGGAUCUGACCCGCGUCUGCAACCUUCACCACAGCUCACAGCAACACCGGGUCCUCAACCCACUGAGCAAGGCCAGGGAUCCAACCCGCAACAUCAGGGUUCCUAGUUGGAUUCGUUAACGACUGCGCCACGACGGACACUACUCUUUGUCUUUUUUGACCUUGACCCUUUUUGAAGGGUUCUGGCUAAUUAUUUUGCGGAAUGAUCCUUUUCAGUGUUUGAGGGUCAGUCUGUCUGCAUUGCUGUGAUGGCAUUUGCUCGGGAAGCCGAAGCCACGGGAACAGUUGGGGAGGUGGAUGAGACAGGGUCAGAGGAGAAGGAUAUUUUCAGGAACAGUUCUUUUUAGUUUCUUGGGACCACAUACUUGGGUCAUGACUAAGAGGUUCCAUGGCUUCUAGAAUUCCACACAGUCAAGUUGAUCGAUGCUAGGAAGCAAAAGGGAGAGCUGUGCAGAUGGGGGAAAGGCUGUAGUUGCUAGCAAGGGUGGAAGGGAAGGAACUAAGGCUAGGUCACAGAUUAUAGGAUACUGAGCCAGCAUUCAGUUCUCGGGCAGAAGGCUAGGGUGAAGGGUUUGUCCUGUAAUGAAAAGCGCUGCGUGUCAAGCAUUGUGCUAGGCGCUCUGUAUGUGCCAUUUUAAUUCUCAUAACACUAUCUGGAGAUAGUUACUAUUUUUGUGGGUGGUAGACCUAUUUUUUAAUUUAUUUUUCAUUGAGGUAACAUCGGUUUGUAACAUACAAGUUCCAUAUGUACAACAUUAUAUUUCUACUUCUGUAUACACUAAAUCUUGUGGAGAGAGUUAUUUUUAACAUGAUAGAACUGAGAUUUAGCAAGUAAAUGGCAAGAAAAUGGCAGAGCUAAAAUUUGAAUGCAGGUCUUUUUGACUCUAAACCAGUAUCGUAUGAUACAGUAGGCAUAUGUGGCUACUGAGCCCUUGAAAUGUGGCUACUGCCACUUGUUAAAAUAAUAGUGUUUGGGUAUAUCCAGUCAAAUAAAAUAUAUUAUUACAAUUAAUUUCACCUAUUCAUUUUCCCUUUUUAUUGUGGCUAGUAGAAAAUUGGAAAUUACCUAUGUGACAUUAUGUUUCAAUCGGACAAAUGCUGUGUCUAAACCUUUCUUCAGUCUACACUGCUGCUUUCCUGGAGUGUGUAUGUGUGAACUAAGAUGAGACCCUAAAGCCUGAGGUAGGAAACAUACUAAGGUACUUGCUAUGAAACAAAGCACACUCUCAAAGAUAGGUAACCACUGCGUUGGUAAGAGUGUUGGGGUGAUCAGGUCCAAAGGCAAAGGUAAAAGGAUUUGUAAUCUACAAAGAGGAAAAAAAAAUUAACCACAAUAUUUUUUUUCGUAAAGCUGAAGUCCCUUUAUUUUUAAAAAUUUAUUUCUUCUUUAUUAUUGAAAUACAGUUGAUUUACAAGAUUGUGUUACUUUUAGGUGAAUAGCAAAGUGAUUCAGAUAUAUAUAUAUCUGUGUGUGUGUGUGUGUGUGUGUGUGUGUAUUCAGAUUAUUUUCCACUAUAAGUUGUUACAAGGUAUGGUUCCUUGUGCUAUGUGGUAAAUCCUCGUUGUUUAUCUAUUGUAUGUAUAGAACUUUUUAUCUAUGAAGGCCAUACUCCUAAUAUAUUUCUUCCUACCUCUCUUUCCCCUUUGGUAACCAAAAGUCUGUUUUCUAUGUCUGUGACUCUUUUUCUAUUUUGUAUAUAGAUUCAUUUGUAUUAUUUUUUAGAUUCUACAUAUAAGUGAUAUCAUAUGUUUGUCUUUCUCUGACUUCAUUUAGUAUCAUAUUCUUUUUUUUCAUUUUUUUAUUUUAUUAUUUUUUUAUUACUCAAAUGAAUUUAUCACAUCUGUAGUUGUAUAAUGAUCAUAACAAUGUGGGAUGGAAAUCCUGUGAAAUUAGUAUCAUAUUCUUUAGAUCUACCUGUGUUGCUGCAAAUGGCAACUUUGCAUUCUUUUUAAUGGCUGAGUAAUAUUCCAUCACAUCUAACUAUCUAUCUAUAAAUAUAUAUAUAAUUAUAUAUAUUAUCUAUUGGUGGGUAUUUGGGUUGUUUCCAUGACUUGGCUAUUGUAAAUAGUGAUGUUAUGAACAUUAGGGUGCAUGAUCUUUUCAAAUCAGUUUUCAUCUUUUCUGGAUAUAUGCCUGGGAGUGGGAUUGCUGGAUAGUAUGGUAGCUCUAUUUUUCAAGGAACCUCCAUACUGUUUUCCAUAUUAGCUGCACCAAUUCACAUUCCCAUCAACAGUAUACAAGGUUCCCUUUUCUCCACACCCUCUCAAGCCUUUAUUAUUUGUAGACUUUAUCUUGAUAGCCAUUUUGAUUGGUGUGAGGUGAUACCUCAUUGUUUUGAUUUGCAUUUCUUGAAUAAUUAGUGAUGUAUAACAUGUUUUCAUGUGCCUCAAAACAGUUUUUAGUAUUGAUUGAAUGUUUAUUAUUUUCUAGUCACUGGGCUGAGUUCCAUGUUCAUUUUUAUUUAAUCCUUAUUAAAAAUAACCCAGGAAAGUAGACCUGUUGUUAUUCCUAUUCUAUAGAUGAGAACACUGAGGUACAGAGAGGGUAAGUAACUUGCUUAAGAACAUAUAGUUGGCUGGCAAAUUGAAGAGCAAAGAUUUAAACGGCUUCCCAUCAAAUCUUGUUAAACAAUAAAGCUCUAACUAUUGUGGUGAUGGUUUGCUUGAGGACACUUGCUCUUAGCAAAGAAGUCAUGCAGGCUCUAGUGUCUCUAUAUCUAUCAGAUUAUCCACAUUUCUGUAAUGAAAUUUCUGAUAUAAUAUUUCCUGAAAUGUGGUCUCUUCAAUAAUAUCAAUAGUGAUAAUACUUUAAUAUAAAUAUUAGUGUGCAUAUAAUAUUGACUGUUGGUUUGCAUCAUGCUAAAGUAAUUGCCACUUUCUAACUGUGAUGGCUACAUCUCCAGCAGUAAAUAUGAGCAAAGAGUUAUGAAGAUUUGAGCCAAGGAAAUAGAUGAAAUAGAAUAGAGUCUUUGGAAAGAAAGAAAAAGAAAGAAAGGUGCUAGUUCUUUGUGUCUUGAAUGCUUGUAAAUCUUUAAAGGUCCUUUGACCCACCAAGGGAAAUUAAUUGCAGUCUGCUAAAACACGAAAUCCAUGUUUUGAAACAAAUGCCCAGGGCAAUGAUAAUACCGAAUAAUGACCUAUAAUUGUAUUAAAUGUCAGUUAAUCUGUUGGGCUGGGAGAAUAUCGUUGUAAAUCCUCAUCUAUUCUAUCUAUACUUACUCCUAAAUUUUUUUUUUUUUUUUUUUUUUUGGUUUAGAGCCAAAUAUUUUUUGAGUUUUCAAUUACCAUUGUACAUUUCAGGAACAUAAAUUUAGAGAGAACAUGACUUUCAAAGUAAGACUUUAUAGGUAGAAAGAAGUACCUAGGUUUUUGGUUUUUGUUUUAAAUUAAUUGACAGUAAAAAUGCUGGAGAGUGAAAUCCUGGGCUGCAGUUUGUUUUGAUGGGAGAUUUAGUUUUUGGCAUUUUCAAUUACCCAUAAUGAUUUGCAUUCUUUACUAAGUGUAUGUACAAAUGAUACUUAAAAAAAUGACAGUAUAAAUAUUAUUGCUAUUAUUUGAUAUAAAUUAAACUGCUUUUAUAAAUACUCUUCAGAGGCAUAUAAAAAGUUUUGGUCCUCUUAAGGUAGUCCUUAACAGCAAUUUCCUUUCUUGAGUUGGAUAAGCUACCUUCACAAUUUUUAUACAUUUAAUUAUGCAAUGAAACAUUUUCUUAGUUCAGAGACAAAUUAUAGCUUAAAAAUGUUUCAGUGAUCAUAAAUAUCAAUUUGAAUUAUUGAGACUUUAUGGUAAUGUACCUAUAGGAGAUAUCCAUAGCUUCUGCUCAACGCAUUGCAUAAAUCUCAUAUCCUUUGAGAGAUGACUAGAAGUUGUCAAAGAACAAAGUUAUACAGGCAGCAUUCUAUGAAAUAGUGGGUACUUAAAGUACUUAAAAAAAAAAUUCAAGACAGCACUUAAAAAAAAAAAGUUCAAGACAGCACUUACAAAGAAGGCGCUCCCAAAUGUCCCAUAUACACAUUAUAUGUUAUGGGUAUGGAUUCACAUUGAACUUUAAGGAGAAGCAUGUUGAAUAUGUUUAAAUAAUAAUUUUAUCAGAAAUACUUGAAAAAUUGAAAUAUUUGAAAAAUUUAAGAAGUAAGCAGCUUAGCUUUCAAACAGAAAAAUAAAGUAGCCCAUAAAUAUGUCAACCUAUCUUUAAUAUUUUUGGAACCAGUAAGAUAUGGAUAUAGGCAUAAAGAGAGAGCCACUAGAAUCAAUCCAUAUCUGAUUUCCACUUUCAGGUAUGAUAGCCUACUUUAUUUGAAGCUAAGGCCCAUACUGAAAAAAUCAGAACAUGGUGUUAAAAAGAAUACUUAAAGGGAUUGUAGUACUACCAAGGGGGCAGAGACCCCAGAGUAAAGAAAAACAUGUUGAGGUGAGCCCUGUAUUCAGUGACACUUUUCUCCUUGGAUUAUUUGGCCCUUUGUAAACAGCACAGGCCAUGAGGCUGCGAAGCAAAGCAGUGGUCCCUAAGAUGAGAGAUUCUGAGCAUGAUUUUUGGCAGUUUCACAAACAAGAAUUCAGGGAGGGAGAUGCAGGACCCUGGUAAAACAUUCUAAACUUUUAAUUGGGACCCCCAAAGAGCUAAAUCCUAGGAGUUAAAACUAGAAAUAGACUAUAAAGUUACAAAAACUGAAAUCAGCUUCUGAUAAACUCAAUUGUGAUUUGCAGGUGAUCUGCCUUUAACUGUCUGCCCUUGCCAGAAGCAAGAGACAUCAUGCAGAGUCUCUAUAAGUUUUAUACACAGCACCUGGCAUUCUAUAAAAAAAUUACCAUGCAUAUCACAAGCCAGGACUAAGAUUAAAAAAAAUACAAAACAAGAAAAAUAGCAACAGUUUCAUAGUGUUCUAGCUUUUGGAAUUAUCAGACAUGGACUAUAAAAAUAAUCAAUGCAUUAAAAAUUGAAGAUGGAUUUUAUUAGUGAGUCAGAAUCUAGAAGAACUGAAAGGAAUUCUAGAAAUGAAAACUAAUAUAACUGAAGAACUCAAUAAAUGAGUUUAAUAGUAAAUUCGACACAGCUGUGGAGAGGAUUGUGCACUGGGUGAUAAGUCAGUUGGAAAAUAUCUAGGCUGUGGUAGGAAGAAGCAUUAUCUGAAUAGAUAAAGGCCAAGUGUGUUCUAGAACUCAUGAAAGAUAUCAACCUACAGAAUCAAGAAGUACUGCAAAUCCUAUCAGGAUAAUACAGUGAAAAACCAUAAUUAGGCUACGUGGUAGGUAGUCAGACCACUGAAAACCAAAGAAAAA